UUAAACUUAUUUUAAACUUAUUAUUCAUUAUUAAGAUUAAGCAUGAAAACUUUAUUUGCAAUUCACACAUGCGCACGGAUUUUAAGGCAGGAAGAGCCGGUAUCGUUGUAUCGUAUUCCAGUAUCGGUUUGUCAUUAGUUAGCUGACAUUACGUUAGCUUACACGGCAGGAAGUUAUAAAGUCAGUCGUUGGGUGUCCGGUGUGAUAGAGUGGAAACAAAAGUGAAAUGGAAAAAAAGAAAGAGUGGAAAAGUACUCACCGAAAAUCCAGCCCAAAACGGGCAUGAGUGUCGAACCCUGGGUGAUGUGGUGAGCGCCAGAGCCGCAAAGCUGACGGCCAGGAUGAGGCUCCCCAGUACCAUCUGAGACACCCCGAGAGCCAGCAUGAUCCGGGUCCGAGUCCGGUAUUCCCUCAGCCGGGAGAGGCUGCGGGACAGCGACGCCGGGCUUAGGGAGCCCUGGCCGCUGAUCCCCGCCCGGGGCAGCGCAUUCACCGGCAUUGUCCUUCCUAAGAAACGAAUCGGUCAAGAGAUGCGGACGCGCCCGCAGGAGGGGAGGAAGAAGAAUCGGCGACAGUGGAGGUCAGAGCCGGAUGGGGACGUUCUCCAUCGGGAUCAAUCCAUUCCUUGUAUUGUCACACUGCUGCCAUGCUGGAACCCACCACACUGCAGCCUCCGCUCCGGAUGACGGAAGCCCGCGUGUGUGCAUGAAGGAGGUGGACCCCGGUCCUGGAACGAAGAACCGAAGAUCCGCAGUGGUCAACCUGCAAACGAAUAAGAAUCCACCUGGAGGAGAAAUGAUCCAGCCCAAACCACCCAGAAGAACUGAGAGAGCGCAGCGUACCCGACGAGGAGUCGGAGGAUUUUAGAGCAAAAGACCAACCAUCAGGGGUCAUUGACGCACAGUGAGCGGAGGCAGGAUGCUGUUGUCCCGGCAGACCUUGAAGUAGAUCUCCUGCUCCACGCCUUCGGGGAUGGCGCCCUGCGGGAUGAUGAUGCUGACCCCCGUCUCGAUGGAGCUCAGGACCCCGCCGUUGCAGUUGAAGAUGCCCCGAGCCGUCGCCACCACCGUGUGGCCCUCAUCUUCUUCCUCGUCAUCCUCCAGGGCGCUCGGGCUGAAAAGGCAGCGAUGCUCACGACCACGACGAGGCGACUCUUAUCCCCGAUUGGACCCACCGAGGUGGGUGCUUACCUGACCGGGAUGGCUUUGGGAACGGCGUUGAUGCUGUUGUGCUGGUACUUGGAGCGAUUGUCCAUCGUACGCGUGAACGUGUCCAGGCCGCUGUCGUGGUCCGUGUUGUGGGUCUGGGGGGGCUUGACUGGGCUGCCACUCUGUUCAAGACAAAAUAAUUAUCAUUUACAGUACUUUUUUACGUCUUUUACAGUAAGACUUCCGACAUUCCCAAUUCCGGUGUCUUACCUUUGCGGCCACAUCUGCUUUGUCAUUGGGCAGAAGGUUGUGGUUGAAUUUGGGACUGUCGAACUUGCGCUCGAACGGCCUGGCAGAGGUGGUGUACGGUUUGGGCACGUAGCGGUUGUAGCUAGAUGCUGGUGGAGCGCCGCUGCUGGUGACGGUUUUCGGAGGCUGUUCGCUGGUGCCGUUAACCGGAGACUUCUCGGCAAAGUUCUUGUGAGGCAGGAAGUUGCUCUGGACAGUGUCGGGCUUGGCUAGCGUGGGCGGGAAUCGGACACGUGUGUUUAUACGAAGUCAUUAGCUCGUCGGGAUUCGUCUUUUACCUUCGCUUGAGGGCUUGGGCAGUGUGGCUGGUGGCAGGGAGGGGGUCAGCUGGGGAACCGGCUCAUAUCGUUUCUCCGCCGGACUCGGUUUCUCCACGGAUUCCGUUCUGUUAGCACAGGAGUAAGAUCAUCAGUGUCAGUUCCAAAAGACUUGGAGUUGCCAAGGAACAGCCUCCAAAAUUCCACAACUCACCUGGAGAUGUUGUGCGCUGUUUGUGCUUGAGCUUGAGGUUUUGCGGGGCCAGUCUGGAGCCUGUCAAAGUAAGAGAGCUGCUUCCUGUAGUAGUCCUCGUCCUCAUCGGGGUCGUAAUGGUUGGAACGCACGAUGUCGUCAGCCACUUUGGACUGAGGCUUCUGAGGCUCGGGGACUCUGGGAAGGGGAGCAGGGGGGUCAGGACAGUGCAGUGCUUAGUAGGAAUUAGAUCAUUCUUUUUCUUAGGAAUGGAACAUGUUGACAUGACAUGACAUUUUUGAUCUCCGUCUGAGGAGCGAUGAGCUGUCUAAAACUAGCUUAGCUGAGUCGAGCGGGAAAAAAAAAAUCUCCUCUCAUUCAGUGUGGAAGUGGUAAAUUUUUUUUGCGUCUUUGUCCUCUUUCCCCACUCUGUUUCCCGCCUUCUAGAGAUGACACUUUUUGAUCUCCGUCUGAGGAGCGAUGAGCUGUCUAAAACUAGCUUAGCCGAGUCAAGCGGGAAAAAAAAAUUCUCCUCUCAUUCAGUGUGGAAGUGGUACAUUUUUUUGCGUCUUUGUCCUCUUUCUCCACUCUGUUUCCUGCCUUUCAAAAGAUGACACUUUUUCAUCUCUGUCUGAGGAGCGAUGAGCUGUCUAAAACUAGCUUAGCCGAGUCGAGCGGGGAAAAAAAAAUCUCCUCUCAUUCAGUGUGGAAGUGGUACAUUUUUCGGCGUCUUUGUUUUCUUUCCCCACUCUGUUUCCCGCCUUUCUAGCAAUGACACUUUUUGAUCUCCGUCUGAGGAGCGAUGAGCUGUCUAAAACUAGCUUAGCUGAGUCGAGCGGGAAAAAGAAAAUCUCCUCUCAUUCAGUGUGGAAGUGGUAAAUUUUUUUUGCGUCUUUGUCCUCUUUCCCCACUCUGUUUCCCGCAUUCUAGAGAUGACACUUUUUGAUCUCCGUCUGAGGAGCGAUGAGCUGUCUAAAACUAGCUUAGCCGAGUCAAGCGGGAAAAAAAAUUCUCCUCUCAUUCAGUGUGGAAGUGGUACAUUUUUUUGCGUCUUUGUCCUCUUUCUCCACUCUGUUUCCUGCCUUUCAAAAGAUGACACUUUUUCAUCUCUGUCUGAGGAGCGAUGAGCUGUCUAAAACUAGCUUAGCCGAGUCGAGCGGGGAAAAAAAAAUCUCCUCUCAUUCAGUGUGGAAGUGGUACAUUUUUCGGCGUCUUUGUUUUCUUUCCCCACUCUGUUUCCCGCCUUUCUAGCAAUGACACUUUUUGAUCUCCGUCUGAGGAGCGAUGAGCUGUCUAAAACUAGCUUAGCCGAGUCGAGCGGGAAAAAAAAAAUCUCUCAUUCAGUGUGGAAGUGGUACAUUUUUGCGUCUUUGUCCUCUUUCCCCACUCUGUUUCCCGCCUUUCUAGCAAUGACACCUUUUGAUCUCCGUCUGAGGAGCGAUGAGCUGUCUAAAGCUAGCUUAGCCGAGUCGAGCGGGGAAAAAAAAUUCUCCUCUCAUUCAGUGUGGAAGUGGUACAUUGUUUUUCAUCUUUGUCCUCUUGCCCCACUCUGUUUCCCGCCUUUCUAGAGAUGACACUUUUUGAUCUCCGUCUGAGGAGCGAUGAGCUGUCUAAAACUAGCUUAGCCGAGUCGAGCGGGGGAAAAAAAAUCUCCUUUCAUUCAGUGUGGAAGUGGUAUUUUUUUUGUGUCUUUGUCCUCUUUCCCCACUCUGUUUCCUGCCUUUCAAAAGAUGACACUUUUUCAUCUCCGCCUGAGGAGUGAUGAGCUGUCUAAAACUAGCUUAGCCGAGUCGAGCGGGGGAAAAAAAUUCCUCUCAUUCAGUGUGGAAGUGGUACAUUCUUUUUGCGUCUUUGUCCUCGUUCCCCACUCUGUUUCCCGCCUUUCUAUAGAUGACACUUUUUGAUCUCCGUCUGAGGAGCGAUGAGCUGUCUAAAACUAGCUUAGCCGAGUCGAGCUGGAAAAAAAAAUUCUCCUCUCAUUCAGUGUGGAAGUGGUACAUUUUUUUGCGUCUUUGUCCUCUUUCCCCAUUCUGUUUCCCGCCUUUCUAGAGAUGACACUUUUUGAUCUCCGUCUGAGGAGCGAUGAGCUGUCUAAAACUAGCUUAGCCGAGUCGAGCGGGAAAAAAAAAUUCUCCUCUCAUUCAGUGUGGAAGUGGUACAUUUUUUUGCGUCUUUGUCCUCUUUCCCCACUCUGUUUCCCGCCUUUCUAGCAAUGACACUUUUUGAUCUCCGUCUGAGGAGCGAUGAGCAGUCUAAAACUAGCUUAGCUGAGUCGAGCGGGAAAAAAAAAAUCUCCUCUCAUUCAGUGUGGAAGUGGUACAUUUUUUUGCGUCUUUGUCCUCUUUCCCCACUCUGUUUCCCGCCUUCUAGAGAUGACACUUUUUGAUCUCCGUCUGAGGAGCGAUGAGCUGUCUAAAACUAGCUUAGCCGAGUCAAGCAGGAAAAAAAAAAUCUCCUCUCAUUCAGUGUGGAAGUGGUACAUUUUUUUGCGUCUUUGUCGUCUUUCCCCACUCUGUUUCCCGCCUUUCCAGAGAUGACACUUUUUGAUCUCCGUCUGAGGAGCGAUGAGCUGUCUAAAACUAGCUUAGCCGAGUCGAGGGGGGGAAAAAAAAUCUCCUCUCAUUCAGUGUGGAAGUGGUACAUUUUUUUGCGUCUUUGUCCUCUUUCCCCACUCUGUUUCCCGCCUUUCUAGCGAUGACACUUUUUGAUCUCCGUCUGAGGAGCGAUGAGCUGUCUAAAACUAGCUUAGCCGAGUCGAGCGGGAAAAAAAAAUUCUCCUCUCAUUCAGUGUGGAAGUGGUACAUUUUUUUGCGUCUUUGUCCUCUUUCUCCACUCUGUUUCAAACACUUAAGUCAAUUUGAGAGGCUAACUGCCUAGCUCGCUAGCAUAGCCCCCACAAUGUGAUGUAAACAAAGAAAAAUAGCAUUGUAAAGGUGACAAUAGGGGUGUUAUAUCAUGUCUACAGGGCUCUAAUAAUGUUAAAAGCCGUAUUUAGAAAGUAGUAAACAGGUUUUCUGUGUUCCUACUUUGUGGAAAAUUCACUUAUCACCAACUAACCUCGAUAAAUGAGGGAUUACCUAAAAUAGCAUUAAAAAAAUGCUUACCUAUUGUAGCUCUUUUCCGAGUCCAGGUUGCUCAAAGAAUUAGCUUUUGGGAUGAUUCCCCCGGCUUUCAGGGGUAAAUCUGUUCCCUGUGGAAAGGGAAAGGGACAUCUGGGAUUAGUACCUGGGAUUAUGACGCGGAAAUGACAAAACGCACGGCAAAAUCAUUUACCCUGUUCCCGGAUAAAUCCCCCACAUCUCUGGCACGGUCCACGGACACGGAGCGCUUGUUCUCAAACAUCGUCACCCUCGUCAGGACCGACUGCGGCCGCAUGGCGGGGUCAUCCUCGUUUCUGGCAGUGUCGGGCUUCGGAGCGUCCACGGGGGAAGGCGAGGUUGCAUCCGUUUUGGAAGCGGGCGCGGCGCCGGUGUGGGAGUUGACGGGAACGGCGUCGUACUGCUGAGGUUUGUAGCCUUUCUGUUGUUGCGUGGGGCCGUGGUUGUACGCCGGACGCUGGCCGCCGGGCGAACGGGUGGCGGAAGGGUACGACGUUAAGUGAGAAUCCUGGUUGUAGUGCAUGUCGUGUCCGGGGGACAAGGGUGGAAGAUCAUCGUAGCGUGCGGGUCCCGACGACGUGGGUUUACCGUAACGAGGCCGCCCGUCAAAUCCCUGCUGAGGUGGAGCGUCGUCGUAGCGGAGCGGAGGGGCGUACUGAGAGUCGAGGCCGUCGCUGUAUGGCAGUCGGGGGUUGUAACCCUGGGAGUUGGCAGUGGCGUGCGUCUGGCCGUAGGGGCUCCACUGUUGCUGGUCAUAAUGAGGCUCGUUGUUCUCAAAGGGCGGCUGGGAGUCGUAAUCGCGGUACUUUGGUUCCGGGUAACCGCCGUCGUAGCGAUUGGGCGGGUGGUCAUAAUCUCUGUACGGCUGCUGGUCAGGGUGGUAGCCCUGCUGGGGGUUGUAAUUGCCGGCUUUUGUGGCGGGACCGGGUCUCCCGGUGCCGUCCGGGCUGUACGGAUCUUUCGGAAACAUCUACAAAUACACAACAAAACACCAGGUUAGCGCCGUCGCUAACAUGUAGCACGUACAAUAACAUGAUUUAUGAAAGGGUGAAGAAACGGAGAGUAUCAAAACAAGUCGGCGAAAUUAAUUACAGAAGAGGAAACGAGUGAGGAAAGACCUGCAAUAGAGAAACUGAGAGGGAGGAGUUACUGGUCAGGUUAUAAAUAAAUUUUAAUUAAAUUUUAAAUAUCACAAAAAUACACUGUACUUCAAAAUGAAAGGCAAAUAUAAAUAUAUAGCAAAACAAUGGGAUUCAUUUUUCACCUCAACAUGUGACCUGACGGGUGUAUCAGACGUAGCCGCUAAAUUUAGUUCAUAAAUAACGUGUCACACGUGUCCAUUUUGUCUGUGAGGACCAGGCAGCUCUUUAUUUGACAAGAGCCAA